AUUGAACGCUGGCGGCAUGCCUAACACAUGCAAGUCGAACGGCAGCACGGUCUAGCUUGCUAGAUGGGUGGCGAGUGGCGCACGGGUGAGUAACGCGUAGGAAUAUGCCUUGAAGUGGGGGAUAACUUGGGGAAACUCAAGCUAAUACCGCAUCAGCUCUUAGGAGGAAAGCUGGGGACCGUAAGGCCUGGCGCUUCAAGAUUAGCCCGCGUCCGAUUCGCUAGUUGGUGGGGUAAGGGCCUACCAAGGCGACGAUCGGUAGCUGGUCUGAGAGGACGGCCAACCACACUGGGACUGAGACACGGCCCAGACUCCUACGGGAGGCAGCGGUGGGGAAUAUUGGACAAUGGGGGCAACCCUGAUCCAGCAAUGCCGCGUGUGUGAAGAAGGCCUGAGGGUUGUAAAGCACUUUCAGUGGGGAGGAGGAUUGACAGUUUAAGAGCUAGUUAAUUGGACGUUACCCACAGAAGAAGCACCGGCUAACUCCGUGCCAGCCGCCGCCGUAA
rnacentral:rRNA from 1 species